rnacentral:siRNA from 1 species
UUGGUAGGCCAAGGUGUCGUAG